UACUCGAGUGGCGAACGGGUGAGUAACACGUGGGUGAUCUGCCCUGCACUUCGGGAUAAGCUUGGGAAACUGGGUCUAAUACCGGAUAGGAGCCAUCUUUAGUGUGGUGGUUGGAAAGUUUUUUCGGUGUAGGAUGAGCUCGCGGCCUAUCAGCUUGUUGGUUGGGUAAUGGCCUACCAAGGCGGCGACGGGUAGCCGGCCUGAGAGGGUGUACGGCCACAUUGGGACUGAUAUACGGCCCAG
rnacentral:rRNA from 1 species